GAUGAACGCUAGCGGCAGGCCUAACACAUGCGAGUCGAGGGAGAAGCCCUUCGGGGCAGAAACCGGCGCACGGGUGCGUAACGCGUAUGCAACCUACCUUUCACAGGGGGAUAGCCCGGAGAAAUUUGGAUUAAUAUCCCAUAAUAUUGUUGGAUGGCAUCAUUUGGCAAUUAAAGUUACGAUGGUGGAAGAUGGGCAUGCGUCCUAUUAGCUAGUUGGCGAGGUAACAGCUCGCCAAGGCGACGAUAGGUAGGGGUCCUGAGAGGGAGAUCCCCCACACUGGUACUGAGACAGGGACCAGACUCCUACGGGAGGCAGCAGUGAGGAAUAUUGGUCAAUGGUCGGAAGACUGAACCAGCCAUGCCGCGUGCAGGAAGGCGGCCUUAUGGGUUGUAAACUGCUUUUAUAUGGGAAGAAUAAAGGGGUAACGUGUACUUUGAUGACGGAACCAUAUGAAUAAAGC
rnacentral:rRNA from 1 species